GACGAACGCUGGCGGCGUGCUUAACACAUGCAAGUCGAACGAAGUGGCGAACGGGUGAGUAAUACGUGGGUAACCUGCCCUCCUUUUUGGGAUAAGCCUUGGAAACGGGGACUAAUACCGACUAAAGGGGGAUGGGCUCGCGGCCUAUCAGCUUGUUGGUGGGGUGAUGGCCUACCAAGGCGGUGACGGGUAGCCGGCCUGAGAGGGUGACCGGCCACGUUGGGACUGAGAUGCGGCCCAGACGACUACGGGGGGCAGCAGUGGGGAAUAUGGGACAAUGGGCGAAAGCCUGAUGCAGCGACGCCGCGUGGGGGAUGAAGGCUUUCGGGUUGUAAACCUCUUUCGCAAGCGAACGGGUAGGUGAAGAAGAAGCGCCGGCUAACUACGUGCCAGCAGCCGCGGUAAUUC
rnacentral:rRNA from 1 species